rnacentral:rRNA from 1 species
UACAGAGGGUGCAAGCGUUGUUCGGAAUCAUUGGGCGUAAAGCGCACGUAGGCGGCCGUUUAAGUCCGACUGUGAAAGACCGGGGCUCAACCCCGGGGCUGCAGCGGAUACUGAACGGCUUGAGACACGUAGAGGCUGGCGGAAUUCCGGGUGUAGCGGUGGAAUGCGUAGAGAUCCGGAAGAACACCGGUGGCGAAGGCGGCCAGCUGGGCGUGGUCUGACGCUGAGGUGCGAAGGCGUGGGGAGCAAACAGG